CCGCCCGUCACGUCAUGGGAGGUGGCAAUGCCUGAAGCCGCCGAGCGAACCCUUUCGGAGGGGAGCAGGCGUCGAGGGCGGGGCUGCUGACUGGGACG
rnacentral:rRNA from 1 species